rnacentral:rRNA from 1 species
UACGGAGGGUGCAAGCGUUAUCCGGAUUCACUGGGUUUAAAGGGUGCGUAGGUGGGCUGGUAAGUCAGUGGUGAAAUCUCCGGGCUUAACUCGGAAACUGCCAUUGAUACUAUCUGUCUUGAAUACCGUGGAGGUUAGCGGAAUAUGUCAUGUAGCGGUGAAAUGCUUAGAUAUGACAUAGAACACCAAUUGCGAAGGCAGCUGGCUACACGAAUAUUGACACUGAUGCACGAAAGCGUGGGGAUCAAACAGG